UCCGGUUUGUCACCGGCAGUCUCGCAUGAGUCCCCAACUGAAUGUAGCAACUAAUGACAAGGGUUGCGCUCGUUGCGGGACUUAACCCAACAUCUCACGACACGAGCUGACGACAGCCAUGCAGCACCUGUGUUCUGGCUCCCUUUCGGGCACUUCCACAUCUCUGCAGAAUUCCAGACAUGUCAAGGGUAGGUAAGGUUUUUCGCGUUGCAUCGAAUUAAACCACAUCAUCCACCGCUUGUGCGGGUCCCCGUCAAUUCCUUUGAGUUUUAGCCCUGCGGCCGUACUCCCCAGGCGGGGCACUUAAUGCGUUAGCUUCGGCACGGAGGGAGUCGACACCCCCCACACCUAGUGCCCAUCGUUUACGGCGUGGACUAC
rnacentral:misc_RNA from 1 species